UGGGGAAUAUUGGACAAUGGGCGAAAGCCUGAUCCAGCAAUGCCGCGUGAGUGAUGAAGGCCCUCGGGUCGUAAAGCUCUUUUACCAGGGAUGAUAAUGACAGUACCUGGAGAAUAAGCUCCGGCUAACUCCGUGCCAGCAGCCGCGGUAAUACGGAGGGAGCUAGCGUUGUUCGGAAUUACUGGGCGUAAAGCGCACGUAGGCGGCUACUCAAGUCAGAGGUGAAAGCCCGGGGCUCAACCCGAACUGCCUUUGAAACUAGGUGGCUAGAAUCUUGGAGAGGCGAGUGGAAUUCCGAGUGUAGAGGUGAAAUUCGUAGAUAUUCGGAAGAACACCAGUGGCGAAGGCGACUUCGCUGGACAAGUAUUGACGCUGAGGUGCGAAAGCGUGGGGAGCAAACA
rnacentral:rRNA from 1 species